GUAAGCUCUCAGCUACUGCUCCAGUGCCAUGUGUGACUGCCUACUGCCAUGCUUCCUGUCAUGGUGGUCAUGGAUUCAAUCUAUGGAGUAGUAACAAUUCUUUUCCAUCGGGAACAUCUAAGCAUUCACAUCACCACCACAACCACACAAGAACAGUGAGAAGGAAGCCACCCCACCCCCGUUGUCACCUGCAUGCAGACGGGGGCAAAGACAGUCCAACCUGAGAAGAUGGCACCGUUCUCUGGACUGCAAGAACAGGAGAAAUCUACUGAGCACAAGCAUUCAUCAUAACCUAACUCCUGGAUGCUGACUCAGUGUGACCAGCCUACUGAAGCACCGGCUGCUGUGCCUUCCCUAUGCUGACAAACUGUACUUGAACUGUGAGCCACAACAAUUUCACCCUUGAAGUGCUUUGUUCGAUCACUUUAUCACAGCAACAGGAAAUAAUGCACCUAGUGAAGGAGCCUGAUUUUGUGUAACGCUACUUGACAGCCAUCUUUCUAACUGUUGAAAAGCCUUUUCUAAGCCACAAUCAAAUGUCAAUAUGAAAUAAAUGUAUA